GGUAAGAUACACUAACAUUAAACAUGUCUCUGUAUCAUCAACACCGACCCACGUCCCAAAAACCCUCCUAAAACCCCAGAGAGACCUUCAAUUCUAUCAAAGUUCAUCCUCCAUCCUCAAAUAUUCACCAAUAUCCGCCUGGUGAUGCACCACGAUUCCAUUAGGAUCCAACUUCCUGCAAUCCUGGGUGGAUCUCGCGGCGGAACCAAAUCCUAAAGGCACAUCAGACAUAGAGAACACCACAA
rnacentral:misc_RNA from 1 species